UACGUAGGGGGCGAGCGUUGUCCGGAAUGACUGGGCGUAAAGGGCGCGUAGGUGGCCUUACAAGUCUGGAGUGAAAGUCCCGUUUUUAAGGUGGGAAUGGCUUUGGAAACUGUAAGGCUUGAGUGUGGGAGAGGAUAGCGGAAUUCCCGGUGUAGCGGUGAAAUGCGUAGAGAUCGGGAGGAACACCAGUGGCGAAGGCGGCUAUCUGGACCAAGACUGACACUGAAGCGCGAAAGCGUGGGUAGCAAACAGGAUUAGAUACCCUGGUAGUCCACGCGGUAAACGAUGGAUGCUAGGUGUAGGAGGUAUCGACCCCUUCUGUGCCGGAGUCAACACAAUAAGCAUCCCGCCUGGGGAGUACGGCCGCAAGGUUGAA
rnacentral:rRNA from 1 species